CAAAGUGAUUGUUUUUCUUUCUUUUCCAGAAUGCAGCAUGUGUUGUUGUGGCUGCCAGAAAUGUCAGCGCAUCCACGAAUUUGAAAGAUGUCCUGGCAGACCUCAUCCCUAAAGAACAGAGCAGGAUCAAGAACUUCAGACAGCAGCAUGGCAAAACCACAGUUGGUCAGAUCACAGUGGACAUGGUUUAUGGAGGAAUGAGAGGCAUGAAGGGUUUAGUGUACGAGACAUCUGUGCUCGACCCCGAUGAGGGCAUCCGUUUCCGUGGUUACAGCAUUCCAGAGUGUCAGCAGCUGUUGCCCAAGGUUCCAGGUGGAG